AAGGAAACGGUUGUGCAAAUAAUUAUUAUAUUUGUUGGAUUAUUCGAUAUUUGUAACAAUAUUACAAUAAUUUUGAAGCCAACGACGAAGAAAGAAGAGGCAUUAGCCGGCGAGAACGAGAACGAGGAGGAGAACGUGGAGGUGGAGAAGACAUCGGUGGGGGAGGAAGGUGAGAGAAAUAGAGUGAAGACUUCCCAUUUUGUACGUGGCUGAGUGGCAGACGGAAGGAAGGAGCGGAAAAAAGGGGAGAUAUUAAAACCCGUUGUCCCGGCAAUUUAACUUCGCGCCACCUGAUUGAUGAUUCGGCCAGUCCUACCUCUUUCGAUGCGUCGAAUCUCUUAUUAGCCUCGAUUAAUAAAAUCGCGUUAAAAGAUUUUCAAGAGACACGAUCAAACGUCCAUCAAAAGAAAAAUCGGAUGACAAUCCAUCCUGUAAAACACGUUACACAUGGCUAUUUCAAAAUUUCAAGAAGCGUCAACCAUCAACCGAUUAACCCUGGUUCACCAUCGAGAAAGAUCGUCCCGAAGCCGUGGAUGGUUAAUAAGGAAGGAACGAAAUAUUCGGAGAGAAAUGCAAAGGAAGACGCACUCUCGACGGUGAAAUUAGUAUGCGUGGGAUGUCGUGGCGCGAUGGCGGCGAGGAUGACGAGGUUUCCUACACCUUUCGCACGAUUCCUGGACCAGGCCAGGCCAGACCCCCGUUAAUUUUCCAUCCCGUGACUCCAAUCAAUCUUACGGCCCGUCACCGACUCUCCCUUAUGACGAUGGCCUCCUCCACCUCCGGCUUUGAUACGUCACCACCUCUCCGCCCCUUUCACCCUCAUUUCCGCCGCGAUUUCUGACAUUGUGACGGAGAAUCCGCUAAAUACCCGAGGACGUGCCGUUUGUCCGUGGUGACGCGUCCACGGAUUUCGAGGCUGCGAACACCUUCUCGUCCUUCAUUGUCGGACGAGAUUCGAAUGUUGAUUAUCGGGCGUCAUCGGGGCGGAAAAUUCGAUAAUUGCCGUUUUUAUGAGAAAAAUGUGAAUUCAGUUUAAAAAUUGUACAUUAAUAAUAUUGUAUCUGUAAGAUAAUUGGAAUAAAUAAAAUUGAUGACUUAACUUAAA